UGUAUUCACUAUUGUAAGUCGCUCUGGAUAAGAGCGUCUGCUAAAUGACUGAAA
rfam:Salmo salar isolate Sally breed double haploid chromosome ssa14, whole genome shotgun sequence.